UGGGUGUUGAGAUGUUAGAGUUGGUCUUAGGGACAGUAGAUGUUUUUUAGAUAAAUGCCUUUUGUCUAGAAAAAAUUGUAUGAAGGUUUGCACUUCUUCUGAGAGAACUUUGACCAAAAAAAUUUGUAGUUUUAUCUACACAAAAAAUACAUAAUAAGAGUUUGCUAAAAAUGUACUGAGACCUACAUGUUAGUAAUGGUUAAAUUGUUGAAAUUGUCUUUCUUAUGUAGUUUGUUAAAAAACUGCUUAAUAAAUUUGAAAUAAGCUAUUGCAAAAAGUUUCUCAAAAUUAUUGAAUAGAAUAAUGAGAUAACUGAAGUAAUGGAGGAAUUUUUGUUGGUUCUUCAAUCCAAAGUUUGACAUUGAGUAAAAUAAAGACACUACCAGAACAAAGUUAUUAUAAAAAUGAAAAAUUGAUUUGAGAGAGAUUACCCCAACUCAAUACAUCUUUUACGGGUGUGGUAGACUUGGGUAGUUGUGUUUUAAUCAAAGGUUUACAACUUUUUUUCAAAAAAUUAUACGAGGUGAGUUUCCCUUUUUUCUACAAGAAAUUACAGGAGAAGAGUUUGUAGUUUUCUCCAUAGUAAUAGUAGGUUGACACGCCUACGUGUUACCUACACUCAUUUGACACGGUCCAGGUAAGUUUUUUGAAAAAAAAAAUUGUUCAGUAGACGUGGGUAAAAGGGGAAAAAGAAAAAUAUGGCUUUCGGUCUUCUUUUGCUCCUCUUUCAAAAAUCACAUUUAGGUUUUCUUUCUUUCAAGACGCAUUGUUCUUCAUCAUUCUUCGUCGGUGCUCUUCUUCAUCGUCUUUCAUUGGCACCCUUGAGCUGCUUCAAUCGGUGGUGUGUUUGAGUUAGGCUUCUAAUCGCUGCAUUCUCUGUUUUUACAAGCUGAUUUUCUUUGGAAGGUAAUAACAGAGAAAUAAUUUUAUUUAAUCUUUGGUCUUUGAGUGAGAAACUGCAUUACCUUGAGUCCUUGGUACCUUCCAAGCAUGAGAAUGGUGGCCAAUGGGUUUGUGCCAGGUGACAAAGUAAGAUGUAAAAAUGUAUAGUGGUUGAACUUGAGAUGACAAAGUCUCUUCUCUCAAGUCAUUAGACACACCUACAAAAACAAUCAUUUCUUAGAAUAUAAAAGUCAGGUAUUUUGAUUGUUCAAAAUCAUUAUUCUAUACACUGAUGUCUAUCUUUGGUCCAUAGAAUGCUUCAUCCCCUUCAUUCAACUACAAGGUUUUACACAAAUAUAAGCACAAAGAUAGUAAAGCUUACAAAUGUCAUAUUCCACAGAAAAUAAUAAAACAUUAUGAAAAUAAAAAAUGGAGUGUGUAGGUGUGAGUGAAAAACCUUCACCCAUAUCAACAUAAAGAUGAAGAGAACAAAUGGGUGUUGUCAUAAACAAAAUGAAACUGCCAACAUAAGCAAAUUAGAUGAUAUAAUGCAAAAAGGAAUCAAGGGCGGACUGGAGGAAUGAGCCUGUAGUAGAGCAUUUCGUGUUUUCAAAACUAAAUCAAAAACAAAACUCUCUGUCUCACGCCCUUGCCCCUUUACUCUAGGGUUUUCGAAAAUGAACAAAAAAGAAAACGAAAGAUAGAGAAAUGAUGAGAAAAGAAGAAAUGAAUUGAAAGGGGACAAACCUCAUAUGCUUCGCACUUCGUCGGUUCGAACUCUUCUGAUCAUCGAUCACGUACAGCCUGUGGCAGCUGUACUUCUCUGUUUUUUUUUUCCUUUGUUGCUCUCUCUCUCAACCCCAAUCAGCUCUCACCGAAACACAUCGCAAAUGACAACUUUGCCCUUAAUGACAUUCAGAAUAAUUGGGUCCCACCCCGUGUCAAAUGAGUGUCGAGUGUCGUGUCAAAGAAUUGUUUUCCUUUUCUCCAUGAAAAAUUGCA
rnacentral:lncRNA from 1 species